AAGGACUUCCAAGCUAUGUUGAAUCUUUGGGUUCCGAAGGGCCGUAGUCUUCAUGUACCUCAGCACUUCCUGAAGACUUCCUUGGUACUGUUCAAAGUAAGAUAUAACGAGUUGCUCAGUCGCAUACAUUCUUUACACCUUCACUGCUUGUUCUCUCAGACAUGCUAUCAUACCCAAGGCACAUGGUGAGAUGGAAAGACACUGCAUCCGAAGUCAAAGGACCAAGGUUUUUGAUUCUCAAUACCCCCCUUGCAUGAUGGGCAACGGACGUUUCACUCUGCACUUUGCUUCUUGAUUUCUUCAUUGAGGAACAGUAAAGUUGAAUCUGUUCCCGGCUGUCAGACUGCCAAGGGCUGUAGAAGCAUGGCACCAGCAUCUGCUCGAC